rnacentral:tRNA from 1 species
CGUAAAAAAAAAAUACGGAGAUUCGAUCCCGUGUCCUGACAGUCGAAAACCGACAGCUUAUACCACUCGGCCAUCUAUCCAC